rnacentral:rRNA from 1 species
UACGUAGGUGGCAAGCGUUGUCCGGAUUUACUGGGCGUAAAGGGCGUGUCAGGCGGUUUGUUAAGUGCAGGGUGAAAGCUCCCGGCUCAACUGGGAGGAGGUCCUUGCAUACUGGCAAACUCGAGGGAGGCAGAGGAAAGUGGAAUUCCCGGUGUAGUGGUGAUAUGCGUAGAUAUCGGGGAGGAACACCUGUGGCGAAGGGCGGCUUUCUGGGGCCUUACCUG